rnacentral:tRNA from 1 species
GAGCCCGUAGCUCAGCCGGUAGAGCAUUCGACUUUUAAUCGAAGUGUCAUGGGUUCGAAUCCCAUCGGGCUCACCA